rnacentral:lncRNA from 1 species
AACUUCAGCAAAAGCCAAGGCAGCCAACAAAGGCUCAGCCACCUCAGCUGUGCCUCUGCGCUUGCGGGCGGCUCACCAGCCACCCUCUGAAGCAGAUCAUGCCAUCCUUUCUUUUUUAAAACCCAUGUCAUCAGCAGAUCAUAAUGGAAAUCAAUCUCCUCAAACCAUCAUGCAAAGGCAAAGGCGUAUCCAUAGCAACCCCAAAAGGAAGGACACAGAGAUGCUCCAGUGACUGCAGCAAAAAAAAAAAAAAAAAAAAAAAAAAAAAGGUGAGUUUGUUUCUCCUCUAUCCAUGCAUCUACCUCUGCUCGCCAGGGGCAGGCUCUGCCUGCAGAUCUCACCCACAACACCAAGUGGGAAAACUCAAGGUGAGCUAAGAACCCCCUGUAACACGGGGGUAUAGGAUGGGGGUGAGAGCAAGGUCUCGCUUCUUGGUUACAGUCUCAGGUGACUGUCUCAUCCUUUAUCUGACAAGCAGCCAACAGUCACUUAGCUUUCUAGUCAAGAUGCUGGGAAAUCACUUUAGCAUUUCAGAAUUCUCCUGUGGCAGCAACAGACCCCCCCACACACCUCCCUGCCCACUAAAUCUCUCCCUUCUCUGAUGCCUUGGGAGAAUGACUCCCAUUUCUUCAGAUACUCAUCAAACAUGAACGCUAAGCCUAACAAAGCCCUGUAUGCCUCAACUUUCCUUUCAAUAAAGCAGCAAUAUGCUCUGACAGGAUUGUUGUGCAAACCACAGGAGGGCUUGGCAGUUCAAAGCUGGCAUGGACCAUAUAGUGAGUUCCAUGCUACAGAGUGACACCUGUCUCCUGCCUCCUCUCUCUCACACACACACACACACAGAGUCUGACAGCACUUAAAACUGAGUAAAGCACUCAUUAAAAGGCAGCCACUAUCAUUAUGAUGAAGAUGAAGAGGCCUAUAAGCAUAGGACUCUAGCUCAGACAGGCUCCUCCACACUCCUGGGCAUGUCUAAGGCUCUUUCUCCUUACUCUGAUCAACUCUAUCUAGCUUCUCUCACCGUAUCCAAGCAUCUGUCUGAUGGAGUUCACACUGGCCACCUACCCCUCAGCCAACAACCUUGCAGAGAAAGGCAACUGAGACUCUUAGGUAAGAAUCCCUUUGCACCCACCAUUGCCUCUUUCUUCCUAAAUUCAUCCCUCCUCAUUCCUCUGCACCUCACCUCCUCUUCUGAGGACCUUCAUUUCAGAAGUACUGUCUGCCGGUUCUUACACAUCCCCACAAAAACCUGCCCUGGCCUCUUCAGUUCUAGGAACUAUUUCUAGUCCUCACCGUGUCCACAGAAUCUAUCCUUCCACCGUCUGCCAAACUGUGAGUCUGCAGCCCUCAGUGCCAUCAAGCCCUGCAUCUCCACACUGCUCCACUGGAGUCAGUCCCACUUUCAGAGUGAAAGCCCUGGUAACCAUGCCUCCUUGCCUCCCUCCUGCCCACCCUCGAAAUGUUCUCCUUUCUCACUUCCUGGGCAGCCUUGCUCACAUGCACAACAAUCCCCGACUCCUCUGUCUGCCCCUGCCUUCUGGAAGUGUGGCUGGAAGAAUCCAUCCCCCCUUUACCAACCGCCUUCUUCCACCAACCCUCGGCAGGGACUCUUCUGAAACACAUUUGUACCGGGCUGCUGGACAUCACAGACCACUCAGGUUCAACAUGCCCCAGCACGCCACAGUCUACCUAAGCUAGAUAACUGAGUCACCGUUAACAACCCCUUAUUUGGCUAAUUCUGCCGCCACAGCCUCUCUCCAAUUCAUGUGUCCUCUCCAUCCUGUUGGCCUGAUUUCAGUUCAGCCUUAAAACACUUCUGUUACACUGAGUCUCCCCGUUACAUCCAUUUUAAGUCCCCCAGUACCCUGGGCUCAGGCUCUACCCCUUCAGCUUCCUUCCACGGCCAGCUUCCCAAAACACAGUCAUGUUAUCCCUGUUCAAAGACUUCGGGUGCAGGCCAGUGGGGUGGCUCAACAGGUAAAUCUGCCACCAAAUCUAACAACUUGAGUUUGAUUCCAAGGACCAACAUGGUAGAAAGAACCAGCUCAUACAAGUAGUCACACACACACAUACACACACACACACACACACACACACACACAGAGAACAUAUAAUAAAAAAAAUGUUUUAUUAACUUCACUGUGAACAACAAUAACCUCUCCUUUGAUACAUGCCGAAGUUCUCCCUUUCUGGCUACUUGGAUCUACUUCAAGCCCUUUGCCCUGCAAAUACAAAAGAGUAUCACUGGGACCCCACUCUUCAUCCAUCACUACUUAGGUCAAUAGUCACCUCUUUCCUGAAAUUCCCCAACUUCUCCCUGUAGAGCCUGUUAUUUCCUUUCUGCCCUUGUAUAGAUACCUUGGACAAAGUUUUGUUACAGCAUCACACUUUACUGAAAAUACUGCCUACCAUCUUCUGUCCAACCUUCCCCUAGGACAGAGAGCUUUGCCCCAAAGUAUCUAAGCACUGAGCACAGUGCCUUGCCCAGAGAGGUACACAAUGGUCAAAAGUUAUUGUGCUAGCCAGGCUCCAGGCAUAAGAUCAGGGCCAGAUCAGAGGAAAUGACCCAACCUCACAGCCCAUAAAAGCAGAGCUGGAGAGCUGACUCAGUGUUCAAGACAGCACUGUGCAACCACAAAGGCCUAAGAUCAGGCUCGAGCACCCACUAGCAAGCUCAGCACUGUGAGGGGAGAAGACCGUACAGUCGGCUGCUUCAAGAGGCCCAUAGUGAGACUCUGUCUCAAACAAACAAACAAAACAAACAAACAAAGGGGUAAGUCAGAGGGUUAGAGAAAGCUUCCUUCUUUCACCUCCAGGGAUGUGCACAGGAACACACACCCAGACACACACAUGCCGAUAUCACACCACAUUCACACAGACCAAAAAACAAAAAAACAAACGGGCUGGAGAGAUAACUUGGUGGUUAAGAGCACUGACUGCUCUUCCAGAGGUCCUGAGUUCAAUUCCCAGCAACCACAUGAUGGCUCGCAACCAUCUGUAAUGGGAUCUGAUGCCCUCUUCUGGUGUGUCUGAAGACAGCUACAGUACUCACAAACAUCAAAUAAUUCUUUAAAAAACAAACACCACAGGGUGGGGGGAAGUACACUUGUACAUACAUAGCAGUGCAUGAAACUCUUUUAGAUAAGCACCUAAAUUCAUAUGCUUCCAUGAUAAAGGAACCACAGACCACAGACAGGCUCUAAGUAAAACGCAGAUCUUCUGAGAAGGAAUAUUCUUCAAAAGGCUCUAAGGGCACCAAAGCCAUGCACUCUGCUGCAGUAAAGUCCCUAUGAGAUAAGAAGGGGCAGGAAAAGGUCAGGAUGCACACCUCAACUAAUACCCCUCAACAUC